UGGAUAACCGUGGUAAUUCUAGAGCUAAUACAUGCUACAAGCCCUGACUUCGGAAGGGGCGUAUUUAUUAGAUUAAAAACCAAUGCCCUCUGGGCUCCUUGGUGAAUCAUGAUAACUUCACGAAUCGCACGGCCUUGCGCCGGCGAUGGCUCAUUCAAAUUUCUUCCCUAUCAACUUUCGAUGUUUGGGUAGUGGCCAAACAUGGUUGCAACGGGUAACGGAGGGUUAGGGCUCGACCCCGGAGAAGGAGCCUGAGAAACGGCUACUACAUCCAAGGAAGGCAGCAGGCGCGCAAAUUACCCAAUCCCGAUUCGGGGAGGUAGUGACAAUAA
rnacentral:rRNA from 1 species